UACAGAGGGGGCUAGCGUUGCUCGGAAUCACUGGGCGUAAAGCGCACGUAGGCGGCUUGUUAAGUCAGGGGUGAAAUCCUGGAGCUCAACUCCAGAACUGCCUUUGAUACUGAAGAUCUUGAGUUCGGGAGAGGUGAGUGGAACUGCGAGUGUAGAGGUGAAAUUCGUAGAUAUUCGCAAGAACACCAGUGGCGAAGGCGGCUCACUGGCCCGGUACUGACGCUGAGGUGCGAAAGCGUGGGGAGCAAACAGG
rnacentral:rRNA from 1 species